CUCUGUCCAGAGCUGCGAUGUGCCACCAGCUCGAGGUCGCCGAGGAGGAGCCCGGCCUCCCGCCUGCGCUUUUGUGCCGCUAUAAAAAGCCACUGAAGGGCCACUUUGUGAGCCGCAGCUCCGCUCACAGCGUAGGAGGAGGAAGCAGCUGAAGCCACUGGCCCACGGCCCCAGCCCCGCUUCCGCCCCCCGUGGGGCCGCGAACCCGGAAACCUCCGCGGCCCCCGCGGGUGGGGGGCACAGAGGGGAGGGACCCGGUCGCAGCCCAGACUUUGCCAAGCCGCGUCUCUGGGGGCCCUGAUCCUCGGCCGGUUUCCCCGAGGGCAGAGCUGGGGCAGGGCCGUGGAGUCCUGCCUGGGGCUUCACAGUGCUAAAGCAGCAAAGGCUGGAUCGAAAGAACAGCUCCAAACCAGUGAUCCUAAUUUCAUCGCCAAGGACCCCGGAGCAUCCAUGUUUUGGCAAAGACUGUUGGGCUUGCCCUGAGUAUCUGGACAAUCACAGGGUUCUAGAUGGGAGAAGCAGAUUAAAGGGCCACAUUCUGUCCUGGCUGAGGAGCGGACAGCCACAAAAGGUAACUUCUUUUGGGGGGCUGAGACCCCUGCACAGUCCUUUCUGACCCAACAGGUAAUUGCUAGCAAAACAAUCUCUUUUCUUUAACUUGUGAAAUACUUGCCAGGAGAUAUCACGCCUGAGGCUUCAGAAGGAGCUCAUCCCUCAUAUUUGUGUGUGUGUGUGUGACAUUAUGGAUUAUUUGUGUAUGUAUAGUGCACAGCAGGCCAU
rnacentral:lncRNA from 1 species